rnacentral:rRNA from 1 species
UACGUAGGGGGCAAGCGUUGUCCGGAAUCAUUGGGCGUAAAGCGCGUGUAGGCGGUUCGAUUAGUCUGCUGUGAAAACUCGGGGCUUAACCCCCGGGCCUGCAGUGGGUACGGGCAGACUAGAGUGCGGUAGGGGAGACUGGAAUUCCUGGUGUAGCGGUGAAAUGCGCAGAUAUCAGGAGGAACACCGGUGGCGAAGGCGGGUCUCUGGGCAACUACUGACGCUGAGGAGCGAAAGCGUGGGGAGCGAACAGG